UGCUAUCUGCAGUCGAGCGACUGAUUAGAAGCUUGCUUCUAUGACGUUAGCGGCGGACGGGUGAGUAACACGUGGGCAACCUGCCUGUAAGACUGGGAUAACUUCGGGAAACCGAAGCUAAUACCGGAUAGGAUCUUCUCCUUCAUGGGAGAUGAUUGAAAGAUGGUUUCGGCUAUCACUUACAGAUGGGCCCGCGGUGCAUUAGCUAGUUGGUGAGGUAACGGCUCACCAAGGCAACGAUGCAUAGCCGACCUGAGAGGGUGAUCGGCCACACUGGGACUGAGACACGGCCCAGACUCCUACGGGAGGCAGCAGUAGGGAAUCUUCCGCAAUGGACGAAAGUCUGACGGAGCAACGCCGCGUGAGUGAUGAAGGCUUUCGGGUCGUAAAACUCUGUUGUUAGGGAAGAACAAGUACGAGAGUAACUGCUCGUACCUUGACGGUACCUAACCAGAAAGCCACGGCUAACUAUGUGCCAGCAGCCGCGGUAAUACGUAGGUGGCAAGCGUUAUCCGGAAUUAUUGGGCGUAAAGCGCGCGCAGGCGGUUUCUUAAGUCUGAUGUGAAAGCCCACGGCUCAACCGUGGAGGGUCAUUGGAAACUGGGGAACUUGAGUGCAGAAGAGAAAAGCGGAAUUCCACGUGUAGCGGUGAAAUGCGUAGAGAUGUGGAGGAACACCAGUGGCGAAGGCGGCUUUUUGGUCUGUAACUGACGCUGAGGCGCGAAAGCGUGGGGAGCAAACAGGAUUAGAUACCCUGGUAGUCCACCCCGUAAACGAUGAGUGCUAAGUGUUAGAGGGUUUCCCCCCUUUAGUGCUGCAGCUAACGCAUUAAGCACUCCGCCUGGGGAGU
rnacentral:rRNA from 1 species